rnacentral:snRNA from 1 species
CCGGGUUCGAUUCCCGACGCUGACAAAAAUUUAGACAGAGAAGAUUAGCAUGGCCCCUGCACUAAGGAUGACACGCUUAUCAAAGAGACGCUACCAAUUUUU